GAAAUGCGAUAAGUAAUGUGAAUUGCAGAAUUCAGUGAAUCAUCGAAUCUUUGAACGCACCUUGCGCUCCUUGGUAUUCCUUGGAGCAUGCCUGUUUGAGUAUCAUGAAAUCUUCAAAGUAAAUCUUUUGUUAACUCAAUUGGUUUCUACUUUGGUAUUGGAGGUCUUUGCAGCUUCACACCUGCUCCUCUUUGUUCAUUAGCUGGAUCUCAGUGUUAUGCUUGGUUCCACUCGGCGUGAUAAGUUGUCUAUCGCUGAGGACACUGUAAAAGGUGGCCAAGGUAAAUGCAGAUGAACCGCUUCUAAUAGUCCAUUGACUUGGACAAUACUUUUAUGAUCUGAUCUCAAAUCAGGUAGAACUACCCGCUGAACUUAAGC
rnacentral:misc_RNA from 1 species